UAUGGGUUGAUAGUGCUUUUAAACCUGUAUCGGCUUAAACACUUUCUAUGUACUGCUGAUAGUUUUCCAUCCUAUACCAAUUGGGGGAAAGUGAACAGCUUGUUUAAGCCUUUAUAUGCUUUCUUCAACAAUCACUUUCCUCCCAUCU
rfam:Triticum aestivum genome assembly, contig: Triticum_aestivum_CS42_TGACv1_scaffold_000318_1AL